AGCUCGCUGCAGCCUUGAAUCCUCCGCUCCGCCGCCGCUAGGCCUCGGGGGGGUCGCCGCGCCGCCCGGUCCUGACACCCCUUCCUCCUCCCUUUUUCCUUUUCCUCUUCCCCUUUUCUUCUUUUUCCUUUUUCCCCUCUCUCACUUAGCGCCGCCGCCACCUCCCCCCUCCCGGGUCUCCGUCGGCGGUUCACGUGGUAACUGAAAAGACCGACAGAGGCAGCCAAAAUGGCGGACGCCGAGGGCUUUCCCACCCGGGUCACACCUCGCAACGCGCAGGCGCCGUGACCCGCUCUUCCCCACCCUCCCCGCACCGGAGCCUGCCGGGAAGGCGGAGGCCGGCUCGGCCGGCGGAACCGCUGAGUCCGGGCUUGGCUCUGGCCGGUCCUUCCGAGCGCAGUGCCGGGCGCCUUGGGAGGGCGGCCAACGGCGCUUCCGCCGCCGCCGCCGCCGCCGCCUCCUCGCCGCCAACAGCCUUUCUGCUCCUUCUCGCUAGACCGGCCUUUCACUCUUUGGGGUAGACUCGCCCGAGUUGGUGUGAUCGUAGCUGGAGCAGCGGAUGCCAAAAUGCCAGGGGCGGGGUUUGAAGAACUGUAUGUAGUCGUUCAGGGUCCGAGUGCCUCAAUUGUGAGCAGGGGCGAAGGGUGAGAUGAGAAACGCCUUCGCCUCGGUGGGGACUUGUGAACCGAUCCGAAGAGAAAUCUUCAAGCCUUAGAGGCCGACCGAACUCACUGAGCAAGAUCAGACCUGAGUGGAGACGAUCCCUGCCACCUGCAGACAGUUCAUAACAGUUGACAAUAAAACCUUUACAAAGUGA